rnacentral:rRNA from 1 species
UUAAGCGACUAAGCGUACACGGUGGAUGCCCUGGCAGUCAGAGGCGAUGAAGGACGUGCUAAUCUGCGAUAAGCGUCGGUAAGGUGAUAUGAACCGUUAUAACCGGCGAUUUCCGAAUGGGGAAACCCAGUGUGAUUUGUCACACUAUCAUUAACUGAAUCCAUAGGUUAAUGAGGCGAACCGGGGGAACUGAAACAUCUAAGUACCCCGAGGAAAAGAAAUCAACCGAGAUUCCCCCAGUAGCGGCGAGCGAACGGGGAGGAGCCCAGAGCCUGAAUCAGUGUGUGUGUUAGUGGAAGCGUCUGGAAAGGCGCGCGAUACAGGGUGACAGCCCCGUACACAAAAAUGCACAUGCUGUGAGCUCGAUGAGUAGGGCGGGACACGUGGUAUCCUGUCUGAAUAUGGGGGGACCAUCCUCCAAGGCUAAAUACUCCUGACUGACCGAUAGUGAACCAGUACCGUGAGGGAAAGGCGAAAAGAACCCCGGCGAGGGGAGUGAAAAAGAACCUGAAACCGUGUACGUACAAGCAGUGGGAGCACGCUUAGGCGUGUGACUGCGUACCUUUUGUAUAAUGGGUCAGCGACUUAUAUUCUGUAGCAAGGUUAACCGAAUAGGGGAGCCGAAGGGAAACCGAGUCUUAACUGGGCGUUAAGUUGCAGGGUAUAGACCCGAAACCCGGUGAUCUAGCCAUGGGCAGGUUGAAGGUUGGGUAACACUAACUGGAGGACCGAACCGACUAAUGUUGAAAAAUUAGCGGAUGACUUGUGGCUGGGGGUGAAAGGCCAAUCAAACCGGGAGAUAGCUGGUUCUCCCCGAAAGCUAUUUAGGUAGCGCCUCGUGAAUUCAUCUCCGGGGGUAGAGCACUGUUUCGGCAAGGGGGUCAUCCCGACUUACCAACCCGAUGCAAACUGCGAAUACCGGAGAAUGUUAUCACGGGAGACACACGGCGGGUGCUAACGUCCGUCGUGAAGAGGGAAACAACCCAGACCGCCAGCUAAGGUCCCAAAGUCAUGGUUAAGUGGGAAACGAUGUGGGAAGGCCCAGACAGCCAGGAUGUUGGCUUAGAAGCAGCCAUCAUUUAAAGAAAGCGUAAUAGCUCACUGGUCGAGUCGGCCUGCGCGGAAGAUGUAACGGGGCUAAACCAUGCACCGAAGCUGCGGCAGCGACACUAUGUGUUGUUGGGUAGGGGAGCGUUCUGUAAGCCUGUGAAGGUGGCCUGUGAGGGUUGCUGGAGGUAUCAGAAGUGCGAAUGCUGACAUAAGUAACGAUAAAGCGGGUGAAAAGCCCGCUCGCCGGAAGACCAAGGGUUCCUGUCCAACGUUAAUCGGGGCAGGGUGAGUCGACCCCUAAGGCGAGGCCGAAAGGCGUAGUCGAUGGGAAACAGGUUAAUAUUCCUGUACUUGGUGUUACUGCGAAGGGGGGACGGAGAAGGCUAUGUUGGCCGGGCGACGGUUGUCCCGGUUUAAGCGUGUAGGCUGGUUUUCCAGGCAAAUCCGGAAAACUAAGGCUGAGGCGUGAUGACGAGGCACUACGGUGCUGAAGCAACAAAUGCCCUGCUUCCAGGAAAAGCCUCUAAGCAUCAGGUAACAUCAAAUCGUACCCCAAACCGACACAGGUGGUCAGGUAGAGAAUACCAAGGCGCUUGAGAGAACUCGGGUGAAGGAACUAGGCAAAAUGGUGCCGUAACUUCGGGAGAAGGCACGCUGAUAUGUAGGUGAAGCGACUUGCUCGUGGAGCUGAAAUCAGUCGAAGAUACCAGCUGGCUGCAACUGUUUAUUAAAAACACAGCACUGUGCAAACACGAAAGUGGACGUAUACGGUGUGACGCCUGCCCGGUGCCGGAAGGUUAAUUGAUGGGGUUAGCGGUAACGCGAAGCUCUUGAUCGAAGCCCCGGUAAACGGCGGCCGUAACUAUAACGGUCCUAAGGUAGCGAAAUUCCUUGUCGGGUAAGUUCCGACCUGCACGAAUGGCGUAAUGAUGGCCAGGCUGUCUCCACCCGAGACUCAGUGAAAUUGAACUCGCUGUGAAGAUGCAGUGUACCCGCGGCAAGACGGAAAGACCCCGUGAACCUUUACUAUAGCUUGACACUGAACAUUGAGCCUUGAUGUGUAGGAUAGGUGGGAGGCUUUGAAGUGUGGACGCCAGUCUGCAUGGAGCCGACCUUGAAAUACCACCCUUUAAUGUUUGAUGUUCUAACGUUGACCCGUGAUCCGGGUUGCGGACAGUGUCUGGUGGGUAGUUUGACUGGGGCGGUCUCCUCCUAAAGAGUAACGGAGGAGCACGAAGGUUGGCUAAUCCUGGUCGGACAUCAGGAGGUUAGUGCAAUGGCAUAAGCCAGCUUGACUGCGAGCGUGACGGCGCGAGCAGGUGCGAAAGCAGGUCAUAGUGAUCCGGUGGUUCUGAAUGGAAGGGCCAUCGCUCAACGGAUAAAAGGUACUCCGGGGAUAACAGGCUGAUACCGCCCAAGAGUUCAUAUCGACGGCGGUGUUUGGCACCUCGAUGUCGGCUCAUCACAUCCUGGGGCUGAAGUAGGUCCCAAGGGUAUGGCUGUUCGCCAUUUAAAGUGGUACGCGAGCUGGGUUUAGAACGUCGUGAGACAGUUCGGUCCCUAUCUGCCGUGGGCGCUGGAGAACUGAGGGGGGCUGCUCCUAGUACGAGAGGACCGGAGUGGACGCAUCACUGGUGUUCGGGUUGUCAUGCCAAUGGCACUGCCCGGUAGCUAAAUGCGGAAGAGAUAAGUGCUGAAAGCAUCUAAGCACGAAACUUGCCCCGAGAUGAGUUCUCCCUGACUCCCUGAGAGUCCUGAAGGAACGUUGAAGACGACGACGUUGAUAGGCCGGGUGUGUAAGCGCAGCGAUGCGUUGAGCUAACCGGUACUAAUGAACCGUGAGGCUUAACCU